rnacentral:rRNA from 1 species
UACGUAGGGUGCAAGCGUUAAUCGGAAUUACUGGGCGUAAAGCGUGCGCAGGCGGCUAUGCAAGACAGAUGUGAAAUCCCCGGGCUCAACCCUGGGAACUGCAUUUGUGACUGUAGAGCUGGAGUGCGGCAGAGGGGGAUGGAAUUCCGCGUGUAGCAGUGAAAUGCGUAGAUAUGCGGAGGAACACCGAUGGCGAAGGCAAUCCCCUGGGCCUGCACUGACGCUCAUGCACGAAAGCGUGGGGAGCAAACAGG